rnacentral:rRNA from 1 species
GGUCUAUCAGGUCGUAGUGGGUGUAACGUACCUACUAGCCUACGACGGAUACGGGUUGUGGGAGCAAGAGCCCGGAGAUGGAUUCUGAGACAUGAAUCCAGGCCCUACGGGGCGCAGCAGGCGCGAAAACUUUACAAUGCGGGAAACCGCGAUAAGGGGACACCGAGUGCCAGCAUCCUAUGUUGGCUGUCCAUAUGUCUAAAUCACAUGUGUUAGCAAGGGCCGGGCAAGACCGGUGCCAGCCGCCGCGGUAACACCGGCGGCCCGAGUGGUGGCCACUAUUAUUGGGUCUAAAGGGUCCGUAGCCGGUUUGGUCAGUCUUCCGGGAAAUCUGACGGCUCAACCGUUAGGCUUUCGGGGGAUACUACCAGGCUUGGGACCGGGAGAGGUAAGAGGUACUACGGGGGUAGGAGUGAAAUCUUGUAAUCCCUGUGGGACCACCAGUGGCGAAGGCGUCUUACCAGAACGGGUCCGACGGUGAGGGACGAAAGCUGGGGGCACGAACCGGAUUAGAUACCCGGGUAGUCCCAGCUGUAAACUAUGCUCGCUAGGUGUCAGGGACGGUGCGACCGUUUCUGGUGCCGCAGGGAAGCCGUGAAGCGAGCCACCUGGGAAGUACGGUCGCAAGGCUGAAACU